ensembl:lncRNA LOC120100726 uncharacterized LOC120100726
CACAAACACAGAGCUGGCGCCUGAGCGCCCUCUACUGUGCAGAAGUCGCCAGCUAGCAGCUCGGAUCUGUGAACCCUUCAUGUUUCUGGCCAGACUCAUUCAUUGGCUAAGCUCCCUUUGUGGGAACCACCAGUGUGGACAAGCAACUAAGGACUUGACCAGGAUCUCCAAGUUAACCCAAAACUCUGCGUGUGCGAGUGAGAAGCUGUCAGUUAGUGUCUUCUAGCUUUUUAUACAGUGGACAAGUGCGCGCCAGGGCCAUAGACAUGGAGCUACUGCAGAAAUGACACUGCGCCACGGAAAGACAGCUCAGAGAGCAGAGGUUUAGCGCCCUGGACCGUGCUGUCCUGGAACAAAACCUCUUACAAAAGGAACGCGAGUUCAACGGACAUUCCCUCAGAUUCCAAUUUGGCAGACCUCCAGAGGUGGGCUGUGUUGGGGUAGGGCGGAUGCCUUGAUCCACUUGCCAGGCCGAAAGCCUGCCUUGAUUAACGACAGCAUCUUUAUGCCUUCAAAAAUGGAAAGGAAUUGGAGGACUUUUCAGCGUUUGAAAAUGACAAAGAAGGUUUCCAAGAAACGGAAACCCGGGGUUUGCUUUGCAUUUCAUGCGUGUUCGCACAUGGAUGCCAGGCCUUUCUGUCAGCCUUUAGGAGGGCACCAUGAGUUCCAAUAAAACCCCACUGCAACCUGCCUGGAAGAAUCUGAUCCCCUCAGCAAAACGAAAGAACCGAGAAACAAGAUCCGUACAUGGUUUGAAAUCACUGUCGAAUUUCUGCCUGCACCUGCUUAUAGCCAAGUAGAACUUGGUUCUUUGGGAAAGUCUCAGUUACUCUUGCCCUGAGAAUCCAAAGCAUGGACCCUGACCUUUGAGAUUGGUCCCUGGACGAAGAGCAGCCCCACAGCGCCCCCUGCCGUGAAGAUGUGUCCUUCCUGGACCUCGGAGUCAGAGCUGGGGAUCCUGGGAGCUUUUGGCCUUCUGGCUCCUUCAUUGGUCCUGGCUCCAGCUAUGGCCCCUACAAGUGUGGACAAGGGGACAGGGGGACUAACUAGGGUGUUCCCAAGAUUGCAGGAUUCUCCAAAAGCUUGGGGUACGAGUGAGUCAACCGGGGUCAUCCUAUGGUUUCCCUGUCAGACAAGUGUAUUCUUGGGCCAUGGCCACAAGGCAACUUUGGAAACUACAGCGAGAUGGAAAAGACCAAGUGAGACCGAAUGGCAUUGGAGCCCUGGUCCGUGCUGAUCCCGAAAACCUUAGGAGAACAGAAAGGAAGGCAGCUGCAAUGGAGAUUGGUGUUUGCCCUGAGUUUGUUCUCUCCAAGUGUAAGAGGGGUCGGGGUGUCCCAAGUCUUGGCACACUUGCCGGAAAAGAAAGUCGUUUGCCAACAGUAGACACUAUGAAAUCUACUUUUAAAAACGUCUGGAGGCUGAAAGGACAAGAAAACAAAACGAAACCAUGGCACUCAUGUCCUCACACCAGGGCGCUAGUCCCUUUGGGCAGCGUUUAGGUGAACAUCUUGCCAACCCUGAGUUCACACAGAAUCCCACCUCUGCCUGCCUGGCAGAGUCUGUCCUGCCAGCAAAGUGAAUGCACGGAGAAACAAAACCACGUAUGCAGUUUGAAAUCACCAUCGGAUUUAAGCGCGGCUGCUGAGAGGUAAGCAGAACUUGGCUUGGGGAGACAAAUCAUAGCUACUAGAAAUUGUGGGUCCAGAGUGAAAGCACUGAGGUUGCCACCAACGGGAAUGAGGGCACCGUCAAGACUCUGCCGUGAAGUAGUCAUAGGGUCGCUCUGAAGCUGAACUGAGGACUAACAAAGGUCUUUCCCUGGAUCUCAACGCAUAGCUAAAAAUCAGAAGAUGUGAGAAGUCCUCAGACCGGUUUGCUCAUCCUCUUGACCAACUGACAAGUGCAUGGUGAGGUAGCAAGUCUGUUGCUGCACUGUCACUGGAGCCCACUUGUCUGUGGUUCCAUCCUCUACUGAAGACCAGCUGAGACAUCCAGCCUCGGGGACUGAGAACUUCUGGAUUCUUGGACUUUGCUUCCUACCCAGCUGUUGAAGAAUUUCCUGGACUGCAGUCUGAUAAGGACUUGCCCUCAGCCUUCCAUUGGUGAAGCCAAGGCGAUGAAGCGCUUCUGUCCCUGUUUUGUCAAAGAUAUGUCAGAUUCUUCAGAGCAGAAAUUGCAGAGUGCCCAUGUCUUGCCAGCCCUGAGUCCACAAUGUUCCAAGUGUUUCUGUGGAGAGCCAAGCCACUCGUAUGAGGAUAACUGGAUUGUAGAUUAGGAACCAUACUACCUUCCUCAUGUAUUUGAGAGCUGGGACUGCCUGAGAUACCGUCCUGGAUUGAACUGUACCAUGAAGAGGGGCACUGAGGUCUUCCAGAGUGAGAGCCGUGGGGAGCUACAAGUGUCCCUAGGAGACAAAUACGAAGACACAGGAGAGCCAGACCAACCCUCACCAAGCUUGCUCAGGAAAAAUGGGCUGGAACUUGAGACCUGUGAGGGUAAAGACUUCCCUGACCAGGAUUCUGCUCCUGACAGUCCCAGAUGCCUUGACUGCUGCCCAUCGUUUCAUAUGACUUGGCCAGAAAAAAUGAAAAAGCUUUGCAGAACUGUGUUUGGAGCCCAGGAGUCCUGAUGCCUACCAAGACUUGUAAUUAGAGGAUCUUCUGACAGCUCCUGCUAUUAUGGGGACACCCCUGCCUCUCACACACAAAGGCAGUUGUGUCCUUGCAGCCAUCUGUUUGUUUGUUUGUUUUUUAACAGCC